AAGACCAAAGAGGGGGACCUUCGGGCCUCUUGCCAUCGGAUGUGCCCAGAUGGGAUUAGCUUGUUGGUGGGGUAACGGCUCACCAAGGCGACGAUCCCUAGCUGGUCUGAGAGGAUGACCAGCCACACUGGAACUGAGACACGGUCCAGACUCCUACGGGAGGCAGCAGUGGGGAAUAUUGCACAAUGGGCGCAAGCCUGAUGCAGCCAUGCCGCGUGUAUGAAGAAGGCCUUCGGGUUGUAAAGUACUUUCAGCGGGGAGGAAGGGAGUAAAGUUAAUACCUUUGCUCAUUGACGUUACCCGCAGAAGAAGCACCGGCUAACUCCGUGCCAGCAGCCGCGGUAAUACGGAGGGUGCAAGCGUUAAUCGGAAUUACUGGGCGUAAAGCGCACGCAGGCGGUUUGUUAAGUCAGAUGUGAAAUCCCCGGGCUCAACCUGGGAACUGCAUCUGAUACUGGCAAGCUUGAGUCUCGUAGAGGGGGGUAGAAUUCCAGGUGUAGCGGUGAAAUGCGUAGAGAUCUGGAGGAAUACCGGUGGCGAAGGCGGCCCCCUGGACGAAGACUGACGCUCAGGUGCGAAAGCGUGGGGAGCAAACAGGAUUAGAUACCCUGGUAGUCCACGCCGUAAACGAUGUCGACUUGGAGGUUGUGCCCUUGAGGCGUGGCUUCCGGAGCUAACGCGUUAAGUCGACCGCCUGGGGAGUACGGCCGCAAGGUUAAAACUCAAAUGAAUUGACGGGGGCCCGCACAAGCGGUGGAGCAUGUGGUUUAAUUCGAUGCAACGCGAAGAACCUUACCUGGUCUUGACAUCCACGGAAGUUUUCAGAGAUGAGAAUGUGCCUUCGGGAACCGUGAGACAGGUGCUGCAUGGCUGUCGUCAGCUCGUGUUGUGAAAUGUUGGGUUAAGUCCCGCAACGAGCGCAACCCUUAUCCUUUGUUGCCAGCGGUCCGGCCGGGAACUCAAAGGAGACUGCCAGUGAUAAACUGGAGGAAGGUGGGGAUGACGUCAAGUCAUCAUGGCCCUUACGACCAGGGCUACACACGUGCUACAAUGGCGCAUACAAAGAGAAGCGACCUCGCGAGAGCAAGCGGACCUCAUAAAGUGCGUCGUAGUCCGGAUUGGAGUCUGCAACUCGACUCCAUGAAGUCGGAAUCGCUAGUAAUCGUGGAUCAGAAUGCCACGGUGAAUACGUUCCCGGGCCUUGUACACACCGCCCGUCACACCAUGGGAGUGGGUUGCAAAAGAAGUAGGUAGCUUAACCUUCGGGAGGGCGCUUACCACUUUGUGAUUCAUGACUGGGGUGAAGUCGUAACAAGGUAACCGUAGGGGAACCUGCGGUUGGAUCACCUCCUUACCUUAAAGAAGC
rnacentral:rRNA from 1 species